UACGUAGGGUGCAAGCGUUGUCCGGAAUUAUUGGGCGUAAAGAGCUCGUAGGCGGUCUGUCGCGUCGGAUGUGAAAACCCAGGGCUCAACCCUGGACCUGCAUUCGAUACGGGCAGACUAGAGUUCGGUAGGGGAGACUGGAAUUCCUGGUGUAGCGGUGAAAUGCGCAGAUAUCUGGAGGAAUACCGGUGGCGAAGGCGGCAAUCCUGGACCGGCAUUGACGCUGAGGAGCGAAAGCGUGGGGAGCAAACA
rnacentral:rRNA from 1 species